ACCUAAGUGCUGGAAAUAGGCAGACAGGGAGCACUUAAACUGCUCUGAUAUAUUAUCGUGGACGUUCAAGUCGUCUCUUAGGUA
rnacentral:tRNA from 1 species